CCGCACUCCUCCAUCGGGUGCCACCUCGCCUCUAUCCCUCCUCUCGUGUCUCUUCUGCUUCCCAUCCUCCGCUCGCUCUCCUCCGUGUGAUGGCGAGGAUGAAGUUCCGCAGUGGCUUUUAGUACCCUUGCCCUAGCCCAUGGCCAUGGGCAACCAUAUCGGCAGCGACGCAGGCGAGGCGGGCGCAAGUUCGAGGCGUCGAUCUGGUGGAGGAGAGCUCGGACUCCUCCAUUGAGAUGUGGACCGAACGAAGGGGACGCAUGGUCUUGGUGGAGGAGCGUACUCCUUCUCCACCUAGGGUGCCACUGCUAGAUUCACCAACGCCACCGCCAGGAGCUCCAAUCCCACCGCCGGCUGCUCCAGCCGAACCACCCACAGUGAAGAUCUAAGGAUAUUUAGGAUGAUGAGGAGCAAUCUGCCUCAUCGUGCAAAGAACCUGCUGCAAAGGACCUAUAAUAUGUACAGUUAGGCUAUAGCUAGUCUUGGAGAUGUGUAAUGUAAUGACUACUGAAAUGGGUUGGAUGGCAGCUGUUAUGUAGUUAGGGAAGUUGAUAUGGCUGGUGGAUGUUAACAUAGCAUCUUUUGGUUCUUUUGGUCAAGUAUGUGAUGACAUGCAAGUAGGUUUCUUGCCUCAAAUGGUCUGUUUUUGUUGUCCAUAUGACCAAGGUGAUGAUACUACCUCUAAUUAUGUAAGCGGAACCUUGUGCUUGUUUAGUGAAAGGAUGCAGCUGUCAAGUCUAGAAGCUCAUUUUUUGUUGUGAUGCAAACAUGUAUGUGAUGAAUUGUCAUACAUAAUUAGUUGCCAACUGUGGGCUAUUAUUA